rnacentral:lncRNA from 1 species
UGUUCCAAAUAAUCAAAUUUGUCCAACACUCAAAAAAUAAAUUUCAUAUUACAAUCAAUCACACAAAAUGACAAAGAAGACACUUAUCAAAUUUAAAAACAUGACAUAUUAUUACAUUUUUAAGGAGUAGUAUAGAAAUAAUUUCUCAAAUAGAAUGGUAAUCGUACAUAGGUAGCUAUACUUAAGAAUAAAUACUAUAUUAUUCAUUUCACCGAAUAUAGUAUAGACGGCGAGUUCAUCUUGUUCAAUUCUUUUUUUAGACAGGCUGAUACACAUUCAUUUCGUUCACCAUCAUUAUUCUUCACCACCAUAUAGAGAUCGUCUUCAUCUCCUCUCUUUUUCCCAACACGACAAUGCUUUUACCGACUCGCGUCGUUGUUCUUCACCACUGGAUCUAUAAAACAAAAACAGAAACAAAAACAGAGUAUGGAAACAAAAGCAUGAUUGUGAGAAUCAAUUGAUUUAAGGAAAAAAAAGGGAAAAAAAAAUGAAAGAGUUGUUGUGUGUGCUCACCGUCUACGCUUUCAUCGUUGUAUGUUCUUCACCACUGGAUCUCUAAAACAAAAACAGAAACAAAAACAGAGUAUGAAACAAAAUCAUGAUUGUGAGAAUCAAUUGAUUUAAGAAGAAAAGGAAAAGAAAUGAAAGAAUUGUUGUGUGUGCUCAC